rnacentral:rRNA from 1 species
UACGUAGGGGGCAAGCGUUUGUCCGGAUUUAUUGGGCGUAAAGGGCGCGUAGGCGGCAUGCCAAGCGUGUGGUGAAAGCCCGGGGCUCAACCCCGGGUCGGCCGUGCGGACUGGCGUGCUCGAGCACUGUAGGGGCGGGUGGAAUUCCGGGUGUAGCGGUGGAAUGCGUAGAGAGUCCGGAAGAACACCGGUGGCGAAGGCGGCCCGCUGGGCAGGAAGACACCGCAAGGUGUCGGCCGAGCGUCGAGGCGCGACAGCGUGGGGAGCAAACAGG